rnacentral:tRNA from 1 species
GCCCAAGUCGUAUAGUGGUUAGUACUCCACGUUGUGGCCGUGGCGAGACAGGUUCGAUUCCUCUCUUGGGCA